CAUUAGAUGGCUGAAGGCAAGUAAUGGUCUCUUAAACCAAAAAAUAGUAAACUAGCAAUUACUUCUAAUGA
rnacentral:tRNA from 1 species